UACGGGGGGGGCAAGCGUUGUUCGGAAUUACUGGGCGUAAAGGGCUCGUAGGCGGCCAACUAAGUCCGACGUGAAAUCCCCAGGCUUAACCUGGGAACUGCGUCGGAUACUGGAUGGCUUGAAUUCGGGAGAGGGAUGCAGAAUUCCAGGUGUAGCGGUGAAAUGCGUAGAGCUCGUGAGGAAGACCGGUGGCGAAGGCGGAUCUCUGGACGGCCCCUGACGCUGAGGCGCGAAGGCUAGGGGAGCAAACGGG
rnacentral:rRNA from 1 species